GGGAGGCGGGUCGGAGCGAGGAACAGCGGCGACUCUUCCCGCGGCAGAGGGUGGCGUGAGAGCAAUAAGUAUGGAGGAUCAGUGGCUUGUGGUACCCAAAGAAGAAGAGGAAGAAGAGGGCACUGAGUGCGGGAGAAAAGACUCUCUCAUUGUCCAAGAAUUCUUGAAAAGUGUGCCAGGGCUUCCCACACCACCACCUCCCUUGGAAGAAAAUGCCACAGACUCCCAGGCCUCCUUGGGAAGAGACAAAGAGGAUCCACAGCAGGCAAGUUCUGGGGAAACCAGAAGGGAAUCUGUGCUCCAGAGGGAUCCAAACAUCUAUGGGAAAACCCGGAUGGGCAGGGAAAAGCUGCAUUCCUCAGUGAAGGUAAAGAUGGAAGAGACUCAGGAAGAAGUCAAUCUGGAGAGCCAGGUGCCUUUGUCCCUCAGCUCCCAGAAGCCCAAGGAGGUAAUCCACCCUCCAAAAAUUGGGGGGGGAAAGAGGGGGGGAGUGGGUUGGGAGGCAAUAUGAGGGAAGAGUUGCAAACAAGCCAUCAAAACGUUAUUAGCCAACUUCACAGGUGCCAUAGAUUGUUUCAGUUUUGGUCCCUGUGAAAAAUAUUUAAAUUAGC
ensembl:lncRNA